GCCUACGGGGCGCAGCAGUAGGGAAUUUUCGUCAAUGGGCGCAAGCCUGAACGAGCAAUGCCGCGUGAACGAGGAAGGUCUUCGGAUCGUAAAGUUCUGUUGAAGGGGAAAAAGAGCGGAGAGAGGAAAUGCUUUCUGAUUGAUAUUACCCUUCGAGGAAGUCACGGCUAACUACGUGCCAGCAGCCGCGGUAAUACGUAGGUGGCGAGCGUUAUCCGGAAUGAUUGGGCGUAAAGGGUGCGUAGGUGGCCUGCUAAGUCUGGAGUGAAAGGUACCGGCUCAACCGGUACAGGCUCUGGAAACUG
rnacentral:rRNA from 1 species